rnacentral:rRNA from 1 species
UUUGUAUAAUGGGUCAGCGACUUAUAUUCUGUAGCAAGGUUAACCGUAUAGGGAGCCGCAGGGAAACCGAGUCUUAACUGGGCGUUAAGUUGCAGGGUAUAGACCCGAAACCCGGUGAUCUAGCCAUGGGCAGGUUGAAGGUUGGGUAACACUAACUGGAGGACCGAACCGACUAAUGUUGAAAAAUUAGCGGAUGACUUGUGGCUGGGGGUGAAAGGCCAAUCAAACCGGGAGAUAGCUGGUUCUCCCCGAAAGCUAUUUAGGUAGCGCCUCGUGAACUCAUCUUCGGGGGUAGAGCACUGUUUCGGCUAGGGGGUCAUCCCGACUUACCAACC